CCCUUAGAUGUUCUGGGCCGCACGCGCGCUACACUGACGAAUGCAACGAGCUUAUAACCUUGGCCGAAAGGUCUGGGUAAUCUCCAAAUUUCGUCGUGAUGGGGAUAGAUUAUUGCAAUUAUUAAUCUUCAACGAGGAAUGCCUAGUAAGCGCAAGUCAUCAGCUUGCGUUGAUUACGUCCCUGCCCUUUGUACACACCGCCCGUCGCUCCUACCGAUUGAAUGGUCCGGUGAAGCGUUCGGACCGUGGCCUUUGGACGGUUCGCCGUCUGUUGGCUGCGGGAAGUUCGUUAAACCUUAUCAUUUAGAGGAAGGAGAAGUCGUACCA
rnacentral:rRNA from 1 species